CCAUUGCAUCUGUGCUAGACCGGGCUCUGCUACUUUAAUUGAGUGCUAAAAGAAUGGAAUUUCAAAAAAUCUCUUUCUUAAUUUUAAUAAUUGAAUUUAUUUUUAUUUGUGAAGAAACAAUAAUUUUAAUUAAAGACAAGAAGACCCUAUGAAUUUUUAUUUUAAAUAAGUAAUUAUUUACUUAUUUAAAAUUUAAUUGGGGCGAUAUAAAAAUAUUUUUAACUUUUUAAAAAAAAAAUAUGAACCAUUAAUAAUGAUAAUUUGAAUGAAAUACUCUAGGGAUAACAGCGUAAUAAUUUUAGAUAGAUCUUAUAGAUAAAAUAGUUUGCGACCUCGAUGUUGGAUUAGGAUUAUAUUUUAAUGAAGAAGUUAAAAAUAAGAAGUUUGUUCAACUUUUAAAAUCCUACUUGAUCUGAGUUCAGACCGG
rnacentral:rRNA from 1 species